rnacentral:lncRNA from 1 species
GGCUGUCACCUCUUCUUGCUCCUACUCAGUCCAUCUAGAAAUGGCGGCCUUCUCGGGGCAGGCCUCGACACUGCAGCUAGAUGCCCGACUCCUGUCCCAACUCCAAAUUCUGACCCGAGAUGUCUGCCCCAGCCUGUCAAUACAGGGGCCCCAGGAGCAGCAGCUAUGAUGGUGCCAUCUGGAGAACUAAGAGCCUACGCACCUGACAGUGGUGCCACAUGCAGAGUGGAGAGGAGCAGGAACCUGGACUUAGCACCAGGCGCAGCUGACCAGCACGGAAGGAGAAACCAUCAAACUGCUAAAAGAAGACACUGGAGAGAGUCUUUGGAAUCCUGGGUGGGCAACGAUGACAAACGAGCCAUAAAAAUACUGACAAUAUUCAAUACGGGACUUUACAAAACUUCCGUUCAUCAAAAAGAUUCCAUCAACAGAGUGUGAUUGCAAAGUAGGAAAAGAUAUUUUUGGUACCAGGGAUUGAGGGAUUAAACUCAGUGGCGCUCGACCACUGAGCCACAUCCCCAGCCCUUGUUUGUAUUUUAUUUAGAGACAGGGCCUCACCGAGUUGCUUAGCAGCCUCACUUUUGCUGAGGCUGGCUUUGAACUCAUGAUCCUCCCGUCUCAGCUCUGGGACACACAGGUAUCACCACCACACCCGGCAGGAAAAGAGAUCUCAAUACAAAUAUCCAAAUCAAGACCUGUAUCCUGAAUCUGUCACAGGUUUCUACAGUUUUAGUGUGCUAGGAUUUGAACCUGCCUCCCACAAUGUGUGCACUGGAAACUGUAUCCCCAAUGCAACGGUGUUGGGAAGAGGGCUCAAGGAGAGGAAAUUGGGCCCAUAAGGCUACACCCUCGUGGAUGCAUUAAUCCCCUCAUCAUUGGGACCACACACAUUUGACACAAAAGGACCUUGCAAAGCCCAGGGCAGCAACUGAGUUGUAGCAGGGGUUAAAGGUUUCGGAUCCAUGCUGGCCAGAGGUAGCUUACUUCUCAG